rnacentral:misc_RNA from 1 species
GUAGGUGAACCUGCGGAAGGAUCAUUAGUGAAUUAAACAUGCUUGGUGUCUUCGCUUCGGCAAGGCCCUUGCUUAAAUCACAUCCUAACACCUGUGAACUGUAAGACGUAUGAUGAGGUCUUUGGCCAAGUCAUCGUCUGCCCAUUUUUAACAAACAAUUAAUGUAACAAACGUAGUCUUAUUAUAACCUAAUAAAACUUUCAACAACGGAUCUCUUGGCUCUC